UACGUAGGGGGCAAGCGUUGUCCGGAUUUAUUGGGCGUAAAGAGCGUGUAGGCGGCUUGUUGCGUCGUCCGUGAAAACCCACGGCUUAACUGUGGGCUUGCGGUCGAUACGGGCGGGCUGGAGUUCGGUAGGGGAGACUGGAAUUCCUGGUGUAGCGGUGAAAUGCGCAGAUAUCAGGAGGAACACCGGUGGCGAAGGCGGGUCUCUGGGCCGAUACUGACGCUGAGGAGCGAAAGCGUGGGGAGCGAACAGG
rnacentral:rRNA from 1 species